rnacentral:rRNA from 1 species
AACGAACGCUGGCGGCAUGCCUAACACAUGCAAGUCGAACGAGACCUUCGGGUCUAGUGGCGCACGGGUGCGUAACGCGUGGGAACCUGCCUUUAGGUUCGGAAUAACUCAGAGAAAUUUGAGCUAAUACCGGAUAAUGUCUUCGGACCAAAGAUUUAUCGCCUUUAGAUGGGCCCGCGUUGGAUUAGCUAGUUGGUGGGUAAAGGCCUACCAAGGCGACGAUCCAUAGCUGGUCUGAGAGGAUGAUCAGCCACACUGGGACUGAGACACGGCCCAGACUCCUACGGGAGGCAGCAGUGGGGAAUAUUGGACAAUGGGCGAAAGCCUGAUCCAGCAAUGCCGCGUGAGUGAUGAAGGCCUUAGGGUUGUAAAGCUCUUUUACCCGAGAUGAUAAUGACAGUAUCGGGAGAAUAAGCUCCGGCUAACUCCGUGCCAGCAGCCGCG